rnacentral:rRNA from 1 species
GUUUGGGAAUGCAGCUCAAAGUGGGUGGUAAAUUCCAUCUAAGGCUAAAUAUAAGUGAGAGACCGAUAGCAAACAAGUACCGUGAGGGAAAGAUGAAAAGAACUUUGAAAAUAGAGUUAACAGUACGUGAAAUUGCUGAAAGGGAAACGUUUGAAGUUAGUAUUGUAUUCGUUGGAUCAGCUUCGCAAGGAGUGUAUUCUGAUGAUAAGCAAGUCAACAUCAAUCUUUGGGUGUUGGAUAAGGGUUUUGAGGACGUAGCAAUUUAAUUGUGUUAUAACUUGAGACUUGGAUACAAUGCUUGGGAUUGAGGAACGCGUAGUAAGCUUUGAGCGGAUCAGCAAUGAUCUCCUUACUAUGGAUGUUGGUGAAAUAUCUUUAAGCGACCCGUCUUGAAACACGGACCAAGGAGUCUAACAUGCAUGCGAGUAUUAGGGCGUUGAAACCCGAAUGCGWAAUGAAAGUGAAUUUCAAAUGUGAUCCGCAAGGUGCAACAUUGACCGGUCCAGAUUAUUUAUAUGACGGUACUGAGUAAGAGCAUGUAUGUUAGGACCCGAAAGAUGGUGAACUAUGCCUGGAUAGGG